rnacentral:lncRNA from 10 species
CCGGCCACUUGAGCUGCUCUUACACUGUAUACCUGUGUCUGAGUACUCAGUUCAUCCACCAGUCAGGGUCUGUGGGACAGACUAGGCAGGUGGUGCCCCGUGUGAGGAGCAGCGCAGUGGAUCAUGAUGGAACCCUCGAAAAUGAACGUGAAGUGACUGCGCAGAGGUGGUCAUGAGGAUGAAAGUCAUAUGUGAAGGAUGAUGGAACAGAGGGACUAAAGGAGCCUGCCCUGGACACCCUGAUUUCCUGCUAUGGGGAGUGAAAAAGAAGCCAUAGUCCCAUGGAUUCUGUUACCAGCCACUGAGUGCAAUCCUACCUGAUCCCAUGGUCCUCACCAAGGCUGUGUCUGCUUAGGAAAUGGAGAAUGGUCCCCAAACCACAGCAGCAAAAAUGAGUGGAAGGGUUGAGCAUUAUUUCCAGCCUUGGUUGCUCUGGUGAUUGGUGCCUGGGAGGGGCAGGACCUCCAUCCAACAGACUGUACCAGCAGAGUCGUAAGAGGUAGGACUUUGGAGAUUCAGCCGUAUGUUCUAUGGGUGGACUGAAGGCUGAAGGAGGAAGAGGUAGAAGUGCAUUGCUACCGACCUACUCCAUCCCACGUGCAGACUCCCUCGACCCCCAACCCCAGGCUGUCACCUGCUCCUAUAUUCAUUUUCUCUGAGGUUGGAGGAAAGAGAAAGGAGACAGCAAUGGCCAGACUUCCCUGGGGUUCCCAAACUGGUUAGUGUGCUCUGCUCAAGUGCUGGCUCCCCGCCCCUCUCUAUGCACACACUCAGCCCAUGUUCACUGAUUCCCAUCCUACCCUCCAGUCAUUUGCCUAACUGACUUUUUUUUUUCCAGGAAACCUCAGAGAUGCAUUGGACUUGGUCAGCAGACUUGAGUUCUAUGCCCAUGCCAGUCACUGACUGGCCAUGACCUGAGUUGGACAAAUCAUGCCCACUCUAGACUUAAGUUGUUCCUUAUAUGGAAAAGGAAAGGAGUGCUUUGUCAGUGGUUCCCAGAUACCAAUUUAUAAAGAUUUC